CAGGAUGAACGCUGGCGGCGUGCCUAACACAUGCAAGUCGAACGGGACUAUCAAGUGAUGUUUCGGACUGAACUUUUAGUUAGUGGCGGACGGGUGAGUAACGCGUGGACAACCUGCCUCUCACUGGGGGAUAGCAGCCUGGAAACGGCUGGUAAUACCGCACGCGUUCAAUGUGCCGCAUGACACAUUGAAGAAAGAUUUAUCGGUGAGAGAUGGGUCCGCGUCUGAUUAGCCAGUUGGCGGGUAACGGCCACCAAAGCGACGAUCAGUAGCCGGCCUGAGAGGGCGGGACGGCCACAUUGGGACUGAGACACGGCCCAGACUCCUACGGGAGGCAGCAGUGGGGGAUAUUGCACAAUGGGCGCAAGCCUGAUGCAGCGAACCGCCGCGUGAGUGAAGAAGUAUUUCGGUAUGUAAAGCUCUAUCAGCAGGGAAGAAAGGCCCGCAAGGGAGAUGACGGUACCUGACUAAGAAGCCCCGGCUAACUACGUGCCAGCCGCCGC
rnacentral:rRNA from 1 species